rnacentral:rRNA from 1 species
GACGAACCGUGCAAACGUUGUUCGGAUUCACUGGGCUUAAAGGGCGCGUAGGCGGGUUAUCAAGUCCGGGGUGAAAUCCUCUCGCUCAACGAGAGAACUGCCCCGGAUACUGAUGAUCUCGAGGGAGGUAGGGGCAUGUGGAACUUCCGGUGGAGCGGUGAAAUGCGUAGAUAUCGGAAGGAACGCCGGUGGCGAAAGCGACGUGCUGGACCUUUUCUGACGCUGAGGCGCGAAAGCCAGGGGAGCAAACGGG